GGGAAUUCCUACCACGAACAAAAUGAUUCAACAGAAUAUGCAUCUCGCCAUCUGACAGCCAUAAAAGUCGCCACUUCCAGUUUUACAGGUGUCGAAGUCCACGUGUAGUCGCAGGAAUCCACAUCUUCCACCUCUAACACCGACCCAAUUUUUUUCCCCCAAGGAUUGAGCAUUGGCCUUAGUGCGAAAAUUCCUCAGGAUGUCGUGGGCUUGGAUCUAGAAGAUAGCACGGUCAAGUUUGAUGUCAUCAAUCGAGUGGUAUAGGGGCCAAAGUUUAACCGAGAAAGUAAUCCUUCACAAACCAUAGGUUUCCUUCCAUAAGCUUUCUGGCUACCACCUCAUCCCCGACAGCAAUGAUAUAUUUGUUAUCCUUAGCUUUUGAGGACACGGACCACCCCCAUUUUGUUCCAGGCUGAUUGGAGGGUUUCCUUAACCACAUUCUGGGAGGGUUCAUGGUCGGCAAUGAGUUGUCCCACGAGAUGGAUGGAGCUGUCAAAGCGUUCCUCCAAGUCGAGGCUAUCUUCCAGAGUUAUAUUCAGAUAGUCAACAAUCUCAUCUUUAGUAGCCAUGGCCACCACAAGAAGAAGCCGUUGAAGGAGACAAGAUCCACAGGGGAUACAAAAAGGAGCUCACGCCAAUGGUGCCAGAGCUAGGGUGCCGGAGUGUCAGAGCUAAGGAGUCGUUGAACCAAGCUACUCUUGUACAUGACAAUGAGCUCUACAUAGUAAGCUAUUUAGAGUUUUGUUCCAGUUUUGAUUAUGCACAAUUUCAAUUUUAAACUUCAAAAAAUUUUGAAAUUGGUUUAGGGUUACUGAAAUUUUAAAAGCAAAAAAAAAAGACAUUCUGCAAUUAAAUGCAGAGACUGUUAGGUCUAAAAGAAUAAGAAAAUGGAGAGAGCAGCAUAACAUUACUACUACUAUACUAAGAACAACACGAAACUGGCUUUGGGUAAGAUUCCACUAUGUGUAUAAUCUCCUUCAAAAGUGAUUUUGGAAGAGAUAAUGUCAAAUUCAUAUCUGAAUAAGGAAAUAAUAUGCAUGUAUAAUGAAGUAGGGUUUGUUUCUAAUUUGGGGUAAUUGAUCGAUAUUUUGCCGAAAUUUUGUAGAAAUCUUGAUCUUGCUUCAAGGGGCCAAAUUAAUUUGUAGUUUAAACUCGAGAUUUUUUUUGGUUCAGAGAGUUUUACUUUUAUUCAUUGAAUUUUCUUUGCAUAAUUUUUUUGUUGUAAAAGUUUAAUGUUGUGUUGUUGUUCAUGAGGAAGAGGACUGAAACCCAGCUGCGUGAAGAAGGUAUGGUUUGUGACAGUUAGUUUUAAUUUUCCAAGCUUCCUAAAAGUUUUGGAGUAUCGUCUUUGGGAUGUUUGUGGAUCAAUUUUUUUUUUACACCUUGAAUUGAAUCGUAGCUUCUGAUGUUUGAAACUCUAGCACUUUUAGUUAGUUAAGGAAUAUUCAAUGUAGUUGACCGUCAAAAUUGGUUUUGUUGUCGUACUAUGAAUCUGCAUCAUUGAUUAAGUUUAUUUGUGUCUCGACCCUAUGUACAUGAUACAUUUUUUGUAGUCAUCUUUUGAUGUGGAUCAUAUAUUGUCGUUGUGAACUAUGCAAAAGAGGAGAGACUAAGGAGAGAAGCAGCAGAAUGGAUGGCAAAAUUAGGCAAGAUUGCUGAAAUACAGAGGCAAAAAGGGAGGAACUAGAAGAAUUAGUUGCGUACAAAAGCUCUUUUGAGAUGCAAAGGAAAAGGUGGAGGCUGACAAUUCAUCAGAUUAUAAGAUCGAGAAGAUAAGAAGAUAGUUGGGGAUACUAAUUUCAUACCAGCUGGUCGAAGUGGAGGGAAUUUGAGAUUCUAGAAGAUUCAGGAAGUUGACUAAUACAAUACCAAAUAGUAUUGUUGAUUACUAUUAAUUUUGCUUUAGAUUAGUCUCAGUUGUUGAUUAAUAUUAGUUUGGGGCUAAUUACAACCCACGUACGACUGAAGGCUUACUGAAACUAAGCAUGCUUGAUUGAAACUAUGGAUUGGAUAAUCUACCAUUUCGUUAUGGAACUUA